UACGGAGGGUGCAGCGUUAUCCGGAUUUACUGGGUUUAAAGGGUGCGUAGGUGGGUUGGUAAGUCAGUGGUGAAAUCUUCGAGCUUAACUCGGAAACUGCCAUUGAUACUAUCAAUCUUGAAUAUCCUGGAGGUAAGCGGAAUAUGUCAUGUAGCGGUGAAAUGCUUAGAUAUGACAUAGAACACCCAUUGCGAAGGCAGCUUACUACGGGAUUAUUGACACUGAGGCACGAAAGCGUGGGGAUCAAACAGG
rnacentral:rRNA from 1 species